GACGAACGCUGGCGGCGCGCUUAACACAUGCAAGUCGAACGGAAAGGCCUGCUUUCCCUUGUGGAUUGCGGGUACUCGAGUGGCGAACGGGUGAGUAACACGUGAGUGAUCUGCCCCCAACUUGGGUAUAAGCCUGGGAAACUGGGUCUAAUUCCCGAUAGGACUGCAGGGUGGUGCCUGUGGUGGAAUACGAUUUUCUAGUGGUUGGGGAUGAGCUCGCGGCCUAUCAGCUUGGUGGUGGGGUAAUGGCCUACCAAGGCGGCGACGGGUAGCCGGCCUGAGAGGGGGGACAGUCACAUUGAGACAGGGACACGGCCCAGACUCGUACGGGAGGCAGCAGUGGGGAAUAUUGGAGAAUGGGCGGAAGCCUGAGGCAGCGACGCUGUGUGGGGGAUGACGGGAUUCGGGUUGUAAACUCCUUUCGACCGAGAGGAAGCCACCUGGUUGGAAGGGUGGUGACGGUAGUGGCAGAAGAAGCACCGGCUAACUACGUG
rnacentral:rRNA from 1 species